AUAAGGCCUGAAGUGAUUUUAGGUGGUUUCAGUGAAGUCGUUUUGCCCUGACUAAGCUGAAGAUGAUUCAUGGCUGCUCCGCUAACUACGCUACUGAAAAACAAUACAUCGAUCACAAGGUUGGAGAAAUGACUAGUAUGUUUGCCUCGCUAAACCCAAAUGUAAAUUGCUGCCAAACCGUAUCCACGGUACGUGUAUGUGUUUGGGUACGUGUAUAUAUUUGCUAAAGAAAAACUAAUUAAAAAUAAAACCUUCCAGGGAGAAGAAUCACGCUUCGUAAGAAAGUUUUAAGGCUAUCUUUUCAAACCCAGGCCCGGUCCAGCCGCCGCAGCCCGGAGGACCAACGAUAGAUGAGGGCGGUUGCAGAGAGGCCGGAAGCGCCGGCGGGG